rnacentral:rRNA from 1 species
GAGUUUGAUCUUGGCUCAGAUUGAACGCUGGCGGCAGGCUUAACACAUGCAAGUCGAGCGGGGGAGAUUGCUUCGGUAAUUGACCUAGCGGCGGACGGGUGAGUAAUACUUAGGAAUCUGCCUAUUAAUGGGGGACAACAUCUCGAAAGGGAUGCUAAUACCGCAUACGCCCUACGGGGAAAGCAGGGGAUCACUUGUGACCUUGCGUUAAUAGAUGAGCCUAAGUCGGAUUAGCUAGUUGGUGGGGUAAAGGCCUACCAAGGCGACGAUCUGUAGCGGGUCUGAGAGGAUGAUCCGCCACACUGGGACUGAGACACGGCCCAGACUCCUACGGGAGGCAGCAGUGGGGAAUAUUGGACAAUGGGGGAACCCUGAUCCAGCCAUGCCGCGUGUGUG